ensembl:snRNA U1 U1 spliceosomal RNA
AUAGUUACCUGGUAGCGGAGAUACCAUGAUCACAAAGGUGGUUUUUUUCCUGAGUGAGUCUUAUUCACUGCACUCUGAGGUGCUGACCUGCGAUUUCCCCAAAUGUGAGAAACUCCGCUGCAUCAUUUGUGGUGGGGUGGGGGACUGUAUUAUGUUUUCCCCUG